AUAUGUGUUUGAGGUGGAUCUGGUUCUUUGUUUUUUUUUGUUUUUUGUGUUUUGUUUUUUUUUUUUUUUGGUGUGUGUGUGUGUGUGAGUGAACCACAGGGAUUGCCGGGUGCAAAGUGGAUCUGGAGGGAGCUCAAGGUAUAUUACUAAAUAUAUCCCAAGGAUUAAACAAGAAGAAAAAAAAACAUUUUUCACAUAUUUUUGUAACUUGGUUUCUUUUGCUCGUGAUUAUUUUUUAGUUUAUUCUGACUUAGUUUAUUUUUCAUCUCAAUGGUAGUUUAUUUUUCAUCUCAAUGGAAGUCAUUUUUGUGAGACAAACUGAUCGUUACUUUGAUCAUCCAUCAUGAAUACCUAUUGAAUAUAAUCACAGGGAUUUUCGUACUAUGUUUCAAAUAUUGAAAUUAUUUCCUUUCCUAGAUUAGUUAUUUACCAAACAUAGGUAUGUCUUCCAUUGUAUAUAAAUACAUGUUUGUAUUCUUCAAUUAAUUAGUGAAAAGUUUAUUCAUUCCAUAUCAAACUCUAGAAUUUAUCAUGGUAUUAGAGCGUUAUGUUUUCAAACGCCAUAACUGCUCCUGCCAUGGCCGAAGCAACUCCAAUUUUGGAUGCCCAAAAAUCCCUUACAAAUGUUUCAUCUCCAUAUUAUUUGCAUUCGUUACAUCAACCAAAUCUAUUCCUAGUCGAUACACCUCUCAAUGGUGGCGUCGAGCAAUCACCAGUGCACUGAAUGCCAAGAAAAAAUUAGGCCCUGUUCUCUUUCCCGUUUUCGGGCCGUUUUCUGUUUUCGAUUUUUCAAAACGGUGAAAACGUGUUCUCUUUCCCGUUUUCGAAAACGAAUUUUCGAAAAUGAAAAAAAAUUUGUGAAGAAAACACAAAACGACUUUUUUGUCGUUUUGGGCGUUUUCAGUGUAAAACUUGAAAAAACUGAAAACGCGGGAAACACCUUUUUUUUUUUUCGGAGGUGG
rnacentral:lncRNA from 1 species